rnacentral:rRNA from 1 species
CCUACGGGCGGCAGCAGUGAGGAAUAUUGGUCAAUGGACGAGAGUCUGAACCAGCCAAGUAGCGUGAAGGAUGACUGCCCUAUGGGUUGUAAACUUCUUUUAUAUGGGAAUAAAACGUUCCACGUGUGGGAUUUUGUAUGUACCAUAUGAAUAAGGAUCGGCUAACUCCGUGCCAGCAGCCGCGGUAAUACGGAGGAUCCGAGCGUUAUCCGGAUUUAUUGGGUUUAAAGGGAGCGUAGGUGGAUGGUUAAGUCAGUUGUGAAAGUUUGCGGCUCCACCGUAAAAUUGCAGUUGAAACUGGCAGUCUUGAGUACAGUAGAGGUGGGCGGAAUUCGUGGUGUAGCGGUGAAAUGCUUAGAUAUCACGAAGAACUCCGAUUGCGAAGGCAGUUCACUGGACUGCAACUGACACUGAGGCUCGAAAGUGUGGGUAUCAAACAGGAUUAGAUACCCUUGUAGUC